UCCUCGAUAGCUCAGUUGGCUAGAGCAUCGAACUGGUAAUUCGGAGUUUGCGGGUUCGAGCUCCGCUCGAGGAG